AGAUUGAACGCUGGCGGCAUGCCUUACACAUGCAAGUCGAACGGCAGCACGGGGACAACCCUGGUGGCGAGUGGCGAACGGGUGAGUAAUGCAUCGGAACGUGCCCAGUAGUGGGGGAUAACUAGUCGAAAGAUUAGCUAAUACCGCAUACGACCUAUGGGUGAAAGCGGGGGAUUCGCAAGAACCUCGCGCUAUCGGAGCGGCCGAUGUCUGAUUAGCUAGUUGCGGGUAAAAGCCACCAAGGCUUCGAUCAGUAGCUGGUCUGAGAGGACGACCAGCCACACUGGGACUGAGACACGGCCAGACUCUACGGAGGCAGCGAGUGGGGAAUUUUGGACAAUGGGCGCGAAGCCUGAGUCCAAGGCCAAUGCCGACGUGCCGGGAAGAAGGCCUUGGUUGUAAACCGCUUUUGGCAGGAACGAAACGGCGACGAGCAAAUAUCUACGCGUUAAUGAACGGUACCUGCAGAAUAAGCAACCGGCUAACACGUGCCAG
rnacentral:rRNA from 1 species